GACGAACGCUGGCGGCGUGCUUAACACAUGCAAGUCGAACGGAAAGGCCCUGCUUUUGUGGGGUGCUCGAGUGGCGAACGGGUGAGUAACACGUGAGUAACCUGCCCUUGUCUUUGGGAUAACUUCAGGAAACUGGGGCUAAUACCCGAUAGGAGCUCCUGCUGCAUGGUGGGGAAUGGUAAGUUUCGGCGGUGGGGGAUGUACUCGCGGCUUAUCCGCUUGUUGGUGGAGUAGUGGCUGACCAAGGCUAUGACGGGUAGCCGGCCUUAGAGCGUGAACGGCGACCUGGCGACUGCGAGACGGCCCAGACGGCUACGGGCGGCAGUAGUGGGGAGCAUGACAGAAUGGGCGGAAGUCUGAUGCAGAGAUGCUGCGAGCGGGAUGCCGGGUUACGAGUUGUAAACCACUUUCGCCUGUGACGAAGCGUGAGUGACGGUAACGGGUAAAGAAGCAACGGCUAACUACGUG
rnacentral:rRNA from 1 species